rnacentral:rRNA from 1 species
UACAGAGGGUGCAAGCGUUAAUCGGAAUUACUGGGCGUAAAGCGCGCGUAGGUGGUUUGUUAAGUUGAAUGUGAAAGCCCCGGGCUCAACCUGGGAACUGCAUCCAAAACUGGCAAGCUAGAGUACGGUAGAGGGUGGUGGAAUUUCCUGUGUAGCGGUGAAAUGCGUAGAUAUAGGAAGGAACACCAGUGGCGAAGGCGACCACCUGGACUGAUACUGACACUGAGGUGCGAAAGCGUUGGGAGCAAACAGG